rnacentral:tRNA from 1 species
GCCUCGGUAGCUCAGCGGAUAGAGCAGGAGCCUUCUAAUCUCUUGGCCGUCGGUUCGAGUCCGACCCGGGGCACCA